rnacentral:rRNA from 1 species
GGGCCCGCACAAGCGGUGGAGCAUGUGGUUUAAUUCGAUGAUACGCGAGGAACCUUACCAGGGCUUAAAUGUAGUCUGACAGGGGUGGAAACACCCCCUCCUUCGGGCAGAUUACAAGGUGCUGCAUGGUUGUCGUCAGCUCGUGCCGUGAGGUGUCAGGUUAAGUCCUAUAACGAGCGCAACCCCUGCCGUUAGUUGCCAGCAUGUAAUGAUGGGAACUCUAACGGGACUGCCGGUGCAAACCGCGAGGAAGGUGGGGAUGACGUCAAAUCAUCACGGCCCUUACGUCCUGGGCUACACACGUGCUACAAUGGCCGGUACAGAGGGCAGCCACACCGCAAGGUGGAGCGAAUCCUUAAAACCGGUCUCAGUUCGGAUCGGGGUCUGCAACUCGGCCCCGUGAAGCUGGAAUC